rnacentral:rRNA from 1 species
AUUGAACGCUGGCGGCAUGCUUUACACAUGCAAGUCGAACGGCAGCGCGGGCUUCGGCCUGGCGGCGAGUGGCGAACGGGUGAGUAAUGCAUCGGAACGUGCCCAGUAGUGGGGGAUAGCCCGGCGAAAGCCGGAUUAAUACCGCAUACGACCUGCGGGUGCAAGCGGGGGACCGAAAGGCCUCGCGCUAUUGGAGGGGCCGAUGUCGGAUUAGCUAGUUGGUGGGGUAAAGGCUUACCAAGGCGACGAUCCGUAGCUGGUCUGAGAGGACGACCAGCCACACUGGGACUGAGACACGGCCCAGACUCCUACGGGAGGCAGCAGUGGGGAAUGUUGGACAAUGGGGGCAACCCUGAUCCAGCCAUGCCGCGUGCGGGAAGAAGGCCUUCGGGUUGUAAACCGCUUUUGUUCGGGAAGAAAUCCUCUGGGCUAAUACCCCGGGGGGAUGACGGUACCGGAAGAAUAAGCACCGGCUAACUACGUG